rnacentral:lncRNA from 1 species
ACUCAUAAUAAUACCUGCCUUCAAUUAUAUCUGACCAUGAAACUGGAUAAUAUGCAAAAUUCAUAUUUCUUCCACAAAUAAUCACUGAAAAGAGGAAACAAGGCUGAUUGUGCUCUCCAAACUGGUAAAUAUUGUUCCAGGAUGUUUUCUUAUUUUUAGUUUUUGAAGUGCAUCACUGAUCAUAAAUGCAACAUCCUGUAUAAAAGGAGGCAAAUUCAGUAGCAUCUCUGCUGGCAAUGCCCUCUCUUAUAGGAUAUCAAUCUGGAAACACAUUCCCAAAUUGGAAAUCUGCAGACAAGUUAAUAUGGAAUUUUAUGGAAUAUAGAUGGAUUCAAUGUCCAAGGACUAGGAAAGCCAUUAACUAUUUGCAUUAUUUUUUAGAAAGUUUGAUCUGCUUAAUAAAUUUAAGAAUCCACAGGUUUGAAAUUUGCUACCUGAGCUGUCUUUGUUUUCUUAAUGAAUGCAAAGGGCCUCAGAUAAAUAUAGGGACAGAAUGAAAUGACUGAAUCACCCAGAUCACAAAUAUAUAUAUUUUAUAGGAUCUCUGCACACUAAAUUUUUACUGAACUCUGUUAUUACUAACUCAGGUAAGCUUGGAAUGGGACAAACUCAUGAUAUGAGGACUAAGAUGGAAUUUUAAUUUUAUUAAAUUGAUGUAAACUAGAAUCAUUUAAAAAUAAAUAAGCAAAUCAUCUCCA